rnacentral:tRNA from 1 species
GCCGGGAUGGCGGAAUUGGCAGACGCAGCAGACUUAAAAUCUGCCGGAGUAUUUACUCUGUAUGGGUUCGAGUCCCAUUCCCGGUACCA